AACGUAGGAGACGAGCGUUAUCCGGGUUCACUGGGCGUAAAGCGCGUGUAGGAGGCUGUGCAAGUCGGAUGUAAAAUCUCCCGGCUUAACUGGGAGGCGUCGUUCAAAACUGCAGAGCUAGAGUAGUGUAGAGGUAAUCGGAACUCCGGGAGUAGCGGUGAAAUGCGUAGAUAUCCGGAAGAACACCAGAGGCGAAAGCGGAUUACUGGACACCAACUGACACUGAGACGCGAAAGCCAGGGUAGCAAAC
rnacentral:rRNA from 1 species